rnacentral:rRNA from 1 species
UACAUGUGGGGCAAGCGUUGUUCGGAAUUACUGGGCAUAAAGGGUGCGUAGGUGGUUUGUUAAGUCAGGGGUGAAAUCCCGCGGCCCAACCGUGGAACUGCCUUUGAUACUGGCGAACUUGAGUGCGUGAGGGGUAGGGGGAACGAGCAGUGUAGCGGUGAAAUGCGUAGAUAUCUGGAGGAACACCGGUGGCGAAGGCGGCAUUCUGGACUGUAACUGACACUGAGGAACGAAAGCCAGGGGAGCAAACGGG